CGGGAGCUGAGUAACAGCACUGUGUGCCUCUCUGGGCUAAUCUCUGUCAUCUCAACACACUGUUUUCCCUCUAGGGAGGGUUGGCAUGUUCCAGUUCCAGCAGCCGGUGUGCCGGGCGAUGUUCAGCAGAGCCAGAGAGCAGGAACAGCAGGGGCACAUACCGAAAUAUUUGCAGAUGAGGAUGAUGUGAUUCUGGUGGGCAGCCAAUGAGUGGGGAUACAGAGGAAGCAAGUUUGACCCUGAAUUGAUAAUCACUGGAGCAGAAUGACGGGGACACAGAGGAUGACCACAAUUUCCAGUUCCUCUUUGGGCAGCUGGGCUUUGGAGAUCUCCCAGAAAGGACUCUGUUGGUUAAUUUCAU
rnacentral:lncRNA from 1 species